AGAAUCAACGCUGGCGGCGUGCCUAACACAUGCAAGUCGAACGCGAAAGCCCCUUCGGGGGUGAGUAGAGUGGCGUCCGGGUGAGUAACGCGUGGGUAAUCUGCCCUUGGGUGGGGAAUAACCAGUCGAAAGAUUGGCUAAUACCGCAUAAUGCAGCGGCUCGACAUCGAGACAGUUGUUAAAGCAGCAAUGCGCCUAAGGAGGAGCCUGCGUACUGAUUAGCUUUGUUGGUGAGGUAACGGCUCACCAAGGCUACGAUCAGUAGCUGGUCUGAGAGGACGGCCAGCCACAAUGGCACUAGAAACGACGGGACCAUACUACCGUACGGGAGCAGCGAGUGGGGUAAUUUUGCGACGAAGUGGGACGAAAGCCUAGACGACAGUCCGAACGCCGACGU
rnacentral:rRNA from 1 species